rfam:Phaseolus vulgaris cultivar G19833 chromosome 2, whole genome shotgun sequence.
AAGACAAGAGGGAAUCAAGUAGCCUGGGAAACUUGCCAAAAUUUUACCAAACAAGGGUCUCCAUAUUCAUAUCUUAAUAUGAGACAAAUCAAAGUCCCAGGUAAUGGAAUAACUAGGCAAGUCAUCCUUGGCUACCAGACAUAGCUCUUGUCU